rnacentral:rRNA from 1 species
GACGAACGCUGGCGGCGUGCCUAAUACAUGCAAGUAGAACGCUGAAGCUUGGUGCUUGCACCGAGCGGAUGAGUUGCGAACGGGUGAGUAACGCGUAGGUAACCUGCCUGGUAGCGGGGGAUAACUAUUGGAAACGAUAGCUAAUACCGCAUAAGAGUAGAUGUUGCAUGACAUUUGCUUAAAAGGUGCAAUUGCAUCACUACCAGAUGGACCUGCGUUGUAUUAGCUAGUUGGUGAGGUAACGGCUCACCAAGGCGACGAUACAUAGCCGACCUGAGAGGGUGAUCGGCCACACUGGGACUGAGACACGGCCCAGACUCCUACGGGAGGCAGCAGUAGGGAAUCUUCGGCAAUGGACGGAAGUCUGACCGAGCAACGCCGCGUGAGUGAAGAAGGUUUUCGGAUCGUAAAGCUCUGUUGUAAGAGAAGAAUGAGUGUGAGAGUGGAAAGUC